GCGAACGCUGGCGGCAGGCCUAACACAUGCAAGUCGAACGAACCUUUCGGGGUUAGUGGCGGACGGGUGAGUAACACGUGGGAACGUGCCUUUAGGUUCGGAAUAACUCAGGGAAACUUGUGCUAAUACCGAAUGUGCCCUUCGGGGGAAAGAUUUAUCGCCUUUAGAGCGGCCCGCGUCUGAUUAGCUAGUUGGUUGAGGUAAUGGCUCACCAAGGCGACGAUCAGUAGCUGGUCUGAGAGGAUGAUCAGCCACAGUGGGACUGAGACACGGCCCAAACUCCUACGGGAGGCAGCAGUGGGGAAUCUUGCGCAAUGGGCGAAAGCCUGACGCAGCCAUGCCGCGUGAAUGAUGAAGGUCUUAGGAUUGUAAAAUUCUUUCACCGGGGACGAUAAUGACGGUACCCGGAGAAGAAGCCCCGGCUAACUUCGUG
rnacentral:rRNA from 1 species